rnacentral:rRNA from 1 species
GACGAACGCUGGCGGCGUGCUUAACACAUGCAAGUCGAACGGAAAGGCCCUGCUUGCAGGGUACUCGAGUGGCGAACGGGUGAGUAACACGUGGGUGAUCUGCCCUGCACUUCGGGAUAAGCCUGGGAAACUGGGUCUAAUACCGGAUAGGAGCCAUUUUUAGUGUGAUGGUUGGAAAGUUUUUUCGGUGUAGGAUGAGCUCGCGGCCUAUCAGCUUGUUGGUGGGGUAAUGGCCUACCAAGGCGGCGACGGGUAGCCGGCCUGAGAGGGUGGACGGCCACAUUGGGACUGAGAUACGGCCCAGACUCCUACGGGAGGCAGCAGUGGGGAAUAUUGCACAAUGGGCGCAAGCCUGAUGCAGCGACGCCGCGUGGGGGAUGACGGCCUUCGGGUUGUAAACUCCUUUCGCUAGGGACGAAGCUUUUGUGACGGUACCUAGAUAAGAAGCACCGGCUAACUACGUG